rnacentral:rRNA from 1 species
CCUACGGGCGGCUGCAGUGGGGAAUAUUGGACAAUGGGGGGAACCCUGAUCCAGCCAUGCCGCGUGUGUGAAGAAGGCCCUCGGGUUGUAAAGCACUUUCAGUGAGGAAGAACGCCUGGUGGUUAAUACCCAUCAGGAAAGACAUCACUCACAGAAGAAGCACCGGCUAACUCCGUGCCAGCAGCCGCGGUAAUACGGAGGGUGCGAGCGUUAAUCGGAAUUACUGGGCGUAAAGCGCGCGUAGGUGGCUUGAUAAGCCGGUUGUGAAAGCCCCGGGCUCAACCUGGGAACGGCAUCCGGAACUGUUAAGCUAGAGUGCAGGAGAGGAAGGUAGAAUUCCCGGUGUAGCGGUGAAAUGCGUAGAGAUCGGGAGGAAUACCAGUGGCGAAGGCGGCCUUCUGGACUGACACUGACACUGAGGUGCGAAAGCGUGGGUAGCAAACAGGAUUAGAUACCCUUGUAGUC